rnacentral:rRNA from 1 species
AAAAGGUGGCUAUACUACCGCUUUUGGAUGGGCCCGCGGCGCAUUAGCUAGUUGGUGGGGUAAAGGCUUACCAAGGCAAUGAUGCGUAGCCGAAUUGAGAGGUUGAUCGGCCACAUUGGGACUGAGACACGGCCCAAACUCCUACGGGAGGCAGCAGUAGGGAAUCUUCCACAAUGGGCGAAAGCCUGAUGGAGCAACGCCGCGUGGGUGAAGAAGGUCUUCGGAUCGUAAAACCCUGUUGUUAGAGAAGAAAGUGCGUGAGAGUAACUGUUCACGUUUCGACGGUAUCUAACCAGAAAGCCACGGCUAACUACGUGCCAGCAGCCGCGGUAAUACGUAGGUGGCAAGCGUUAUCCGGAUUUAUUGGGCGUAAAGGGAACGCAGGCGGUCUUUUAAGUCUGAUGUGAAAGCCUUCGGCUUAACCGGAGUAGUGCAUUGGAAACUGGGAGACUUGAGUGCAGAAGAGGAGAGUGGAACUCCAUGUGUAGCGGUGAAAUGCGUAGAUAUAUGGAAGAACACCAGUGGCGAAAGCGGCUCUCUGGUCUGUAACUGACGCUGAGGUUCGAAAGCGUGGGUAGCAAACAGGAUUAGAUACCCUGGUAGUCCACGCCGU